rnacentral:rRNA from 1 species
AGUGAAUAGAUACCCGGGUAGUCCUAGCCGUAAACGAUACUCGCUAGGUGUCGGCCACGGUGCGACCGUUGUCGGUGCCGUAGGGAAAGCCGUGAAGCGAGCCACCUGGGAAGUACGGCCGCAAGGCUGAAACUUAAAGGAAUUGGCGGGGGAGCACCACAACGGGUGGAGCUUGCGGUUUAAUUGGAUUCAACGCCGGAAAUCUUACCGGGACCGACAGCAAUAUGAAGGCCAGGCUGAAGACUUUGCCGGAUUAGCUGAGAGGUGGUGCAUGGCCGUCGUCAGUUCGUACUGUGAAAGCAUCCUGUUAAGUCAGGCAACGAGCGAGACCCACGCCCACAGUUGCCAGCGUACUCUCUGGAGUGACGGGUACACUGUGGGGACCGCCGCUGCUAAAGCGGAGGAAGGAAUGGGCAACGGUAGGUCAGUAUGCCCCGAAUAUCCCGGGCUACACGCGAGCUACAAUGGUUGGUACAAUGGGUAUCUACCCGAAAGGGAUGGAAAUCUCCUAAAGCCAAUCUUAGUUCGGAUUGAGGGCUGCAACUCGCCCUC